rnacentral:lncRNA from 1 species
AAAACAGAGCUAAGCCAAGGAAAUGAUUUCUUUCCCACCUACAAUGCAUGAAAAGAAAUUAACAUGAAAAGGGUCUGAGGAAGACAUUAAUAUUUUGAUAGUGGCAGAAGAAUGUUAUUUACAAAAAUAAUGACAAAUGUUGAAGAGAAAAUACAGGCUUCCUAGCAACUAGACCAAAGAUAAGAAAGAGAUACAGUGGAAGAAGAUUUAAGAGAAUAGAGGAGAAGGAGGAAAAGAGGGGAAAGAGGUGGAUGUUGUAAAAGGCCAUAUAGAAACCUAUCACUUUGUAAACUUCAUUUUCAGACUUUAAGUGAAGUUGCCUUAUACCGCCUUAUACCUACAUGUAAGACAUAGACACAUAUAUCCUACUAUGCAGAGUGAAACACAUCUUAUCAAGUUGUUGUUGUGGGGAUGGGGGAGUAUUCCAGAAAUCUUCCAAACAAUGGUAACGAUGGCUAUAUCUCUUGGUUGCUAUCUAGAACUUGAUCAUAAGAACCCAUCACUGAGAACAUCAUCUAUUUUGCCCAUAAGACUUGGAGAACUGAAGCAGGAACUAAGAUGGAGAUGUCCUCACCACUAACUAGCCCCUGCAGUGUUUGGAAGAUGCUAUUCACGCUGCUAGAUGAGAGAGAACAUGAACAGCCUUAUCCGGCUAUGAACUGUACC